rnacentral:rRNA from 1 species
UACGUAGGGGGCGAGCUUGUCCGGAUUUAUUGGGCGUAAAGAGCUCGUAGGCGGUUCGAUAAGUCGGACGUGAAAUCUCCACGCUCAACGUGGAGGGGCCGUUCGAUACUGUCGUGACUCGAGUCCGGUAGGGGAGUGUGGAAUUCCCGGGUGUAGCGGUGAAAUGCGCAGAGAUCGGGAGGAACACCCGUAGCGAAGGCGGCUCUCUGGAACGCAACUGACGCUGAGACGCGAAA